rnacentral:rRNA from 1 species
UGCGGCGGAUUAGCUAGUUGGUGGGGUAACGGCCUACCAAGGCGAUGAUCCGUAGGGGGCGUGAGAGCGUGGCCCCCCACACUGGCACUGAGACACGGGCCAGACUCCUACGGGAGGCAGCAGUGAGGAAUAUUGCACAAUGGGCGCAAGCCUGAUGCAGCAACGCCGCGUGAGGGACGAAGGCCUUCGGGUCGUAAACCUCUUUUCUGGGGGACGAGUAAGGACGGUACCCCAGGAAUAAGUCUCGGCUAACUACGUGCCAGCAGCCGCGGUAAAACGUAGGAGGCGAGCGUUAUCCGGAUUUACUGGGCGUAAAGCGUACGCAGGUGGCUUCGUGAGUCGGACAUGAAAGCUCCUGGCUUAACUGGGAGAGGUUGUUCGAUACUGCGGGGCUUGAGGUUGGGAGAGGGACGUGGAAUUCCCGGUGUAGUGGUGGAAUGCGUAGAUAUCGGGAGGAACACCAGUGGCGCAAGCGGCGUCCUGGCCCACACCUGACGCUGAGGUACGAAAGCGUGGGUAGCAAACAGGAUUAGAUACCCUGGUAGUCCACGCUGUAAACGAUGUCAACUGGGUGUCGGUAGUUUUACACUAUCGGUGCCGAAGCCAACGCG